rnacentral:ribozyme from 11 species
AAAAGAAAGAAAAAGAAAAGAAAAAAGUGCAUCCAAACGCACAGACGAGUUUCGCCUGAUUUGUAUUGUUAUACAUCUAUCACCUUUUCUUUCCCU